rnacentral:lncRNA from 1 species
GGAGAUAUCAGAAGACACGGGUCGCCGUUGGUUGGGAGCUGGGACUUGGACUUGGAGAAGCGGUAGAACAGGAGUGCAUGCAAGGCCAUGGUAGGAGUAUCGUUGAUCAUUUUUUGAUAGGAAAACGAUUAUUUUAAAUCCUGAAUUUAUAGAGGUCGGGCAAAAUGAAUCUUAAAUUAAAAUUCCGAUCGAUUGUAUCCUGAACUACGAAAUCCUGGUUUAAAUUAAACUUUCGG